rnacentral:rRNA from 1 species
GCUUACGGCCAUAUCACGUUGAAAGCACCGGUUCUCGUCCGAUCACCGAAGUUAAGCAACGUCGAGCCUGGUUAGUACUUGGAUGGGUGACCGCCUGGGAAUACCAGGUGCCGUAAGCU